UCAAAAACAUAGUUUAAAGAAAAAGAUUUUAGAUAAAUUCUGCUCAAUGAGUAAAUUAAAUAGCUGCAGUAAAUUAACUGUACUAAGGUAGCAUAAUAAGUUGCUUUAUAAUUAAAAGCUUGAAUGAAAGAAAUAAUGUGAAACAAGCUUUUUAAACUAAAGUAGUAAAAAUUAAUAUUUAAGUGAAAAAUCUUAAAUAAAAUCAAAAGACAAGAAGACCCUUUAGAACUUUACAAAUUAACUUAAUUUCAUUUGGUUAAUUUGUUAGAUUGGGGAGAUUUUUAAAUAAAUAAAUCUUUAGAUAUAAAAAAAUGAUUUAAAUCAAAUUAAAUUAUCCAAAUAUGAAAUAAAACAAGUUACCUAAGGGAUAACAGCGCAAAAUUUUUGAGAAGUUCUCAUUUACAAAAUAAAUUGCGACCUCGAUGUUGGAUUAAGAACAACUUAUAAAGCAAAAAUUUAUAAGAGUGCUGCGGGGGCCCGGUUCUU
rnacentral:rRNA from 1 species